GGUUCAACCCAAUUCCUUCAAUCCAGACUCUUCUACCCACCCAAAGUGGUACAGGGUGGCAUGGGCGGAUAUGAAACAUUGUACCUUCAAGAGAUGAUGCUGCACCAGCACUGAGAUAGGAUUAGCCUUGAUCCCAUAAGUAGAGCACAGCAACUCUCGAAGGACAUGUGUGGGCUGCUGGCUCCAUGGGGCAUGUGCAAGCACACUGACUGUCAGUCUAAGUGAAGAGGGAGAGAGAGAACCUGCAUGCCUCUGGGAAGAUGAUGCCUCAGAAGAGGUAGGUAUACAUGUCUGUAGAGGAUUAUAGAUGACUAGAUUGUUUCUCUUGGAAGUCUAGAAAUUUUUUUUCAUUGCCUAUUGAGGUAGUAUUGUCCCAUGCUUUUUUAUGAUUACAAGGAAAACCUCAUCUUGUGCCAGCGAGGCUGCAGUGUGGUGGUUCUGGCUAGCAAGAGGCAAGGUGAAAUUGCGCACUCAAAUCAUAUUCUCUGAAACACAGGCAGUCUGACACUGCAGCCAGACGGUGCAAGGGCCAGCCCUGCCUUACCCAGCUCAGGUGGAGCCCCUUCUCUCUGUCCCAUGUGGGGGGAGGGGAUGGAUGCAGCUCACCUGGGGCCAACUGUUUCUGGGACCUUCCCAGAAGACGAGUACAUCUUCAGCCUUUUCCACUGAAAAGAACUUCAGGGAAAAAGUGCAAAUAGCUCAGCACCAAGCAAAAGCCUGGGUGUGCUCCCAAGCACAGGGUGAAUAAAAGAUACUCCCAGCUGGGUAGGCUGCUAAUCACUUGGUGGAAAUAUUUCUUAAUUAUGCAGCUGACAGCCUCAAAUAACCUCCUAGAACAAAAGCAAACACUUCUCCACCCUCGAUGCCACACCUUAAGGAGGGAGAGAAGCACUGAGAGGUAGCAGAGAUGGGCAACCACCGUGAAGUGCUGUGGGGUCCCCAGAGCAGCUGGGGUAGGCCGGCAUGAAUUGUAUGCUGGAAAGCCAGGCAUUUGAAGCAGACUGGGAUGGUGCAUGGUCACGGAGCAAUGUGUAUGUUUGCAGAGGGGAAGAUGAAAUGCAGCAGGCAGGCAGGAGGAGGCUGUGACAAGCAAGGGGGAGGCAAAAAAUGGCUAGUAGAGGAACUGGGAAGAAGAAUCUGCCCACAAGGAAACUCUUUUUAGCUGUCAGUGUGACAGCACUCUCACUGCACGACAGCAGCUGUGCUGACCACAGGCACUGCCCUGAUGCCUGGGCUGGCAGUCUGGUCACACCCAGCCCUGUCCUGACAUGGGCAGGCAGCAGCCAGCCUCUGCCAUUGGAAAGCAUGGACAUGGAGACAUGGGGACACCUGAGCAGAUGGGAGACCAAAACAUGCAGCAAAGCUGUGGAGAUCCCCCAGCCCCUGGAAGAUGGUGGAGCUGUGGGAACUGAAGGCAUCAUUUGCGGACAUGAGAUGAGUGUGCAGGAUGUGCUGCUCCAGCUAAAGGCCUGCUUCCCAUCUAACAUCUUCUGGCCACAAUUAACUUUGAAAUGUAUGAAAGUACCUGUGACGUUUUGAAAAAAUAUGACAAUAUUUUCCUGUUGCUUGGAGAGAUGUAGCUGGAGAUAAGAGCUAUGUUUAAAACAACUCAUCAUGAACUGAAAUAAAGAAUAACUGAGACUUAUGUAUGAACAUUUCCACCU